rnacentral:rRNA from 1 species
UACGUAGGGACCAAGCGUUGUUCGGAUUUACUGGGCGUAAAGGGCGCGUAGGCGGCAAUUCAAGUCAUCUGUGAAAUCUCCGGGCUUAACUCGGAACGGUCAGAUGAUACUGCUUUGCUAGAGUGCGGAAGGGGCAAUCGGAAUUCUUGGUGUAGCGGUGAAAUGCGUAGAUAUCAAGAGGAACACCUGAGGUGAAGACGGGUUGCUGGGCUGAUACUGACGCUGAGGCGCGAAAGCUAGGGUAGCAAACGGG